GCCAAUUUGCAGCUGGACAAUGGCACGAUAGAGAACUUGAAUCCUAUAAAAAGCUUUUCCAGCGGGGGAGUAAUCACUGCAAUUUCCGAGCACAGAAGAUACAGAAGAAAGAAACUGGGCUUGUGAAAAAAAGAGCAGCGCCAGUGAUUUUCAAUGGAAUUGUGUCGAUGGGCCAUGUUACUGGCAUCCAUAAGUGAUUGCAGGAUCAGAGCCUAUGCAUGAUCACUAAAUAUCUCUCCGUGAUGCCUUUCAGCUUCACAAAACAGUUAUAAAGGCUGGCAAAUGCUCUUCCAGGACCAAGGGAAGGAGCCUAGACUAAGCAGAUUCGAUAUAUGUGCCAGUUAUACGAAGACACUUGCUCCAAAGGCUUCUGUCACACAGAGAGAAGGAGGAUCCGCAAAGGUAAUAGGUAAAGGAGGUUCUUACUGCUGACAGCUGCUCACUUUGGUAGCAUUCUACUAUGGGGAGCUGUGAAGGUCUGAUCCGAAGUCCCUUGAAAGCAAUGGAAAGCCUCCCAGUUCACCUAACUGAGCUUUGGAUCAGACCCAGGAAGUAGAUGUCCCAUUUUCAUGUCUGGCUGCAAUUUGCAUUCCUUUCCCCAACUCUCCUCCUUUCCCACCCAAAAAAUUCAGUGAAUUUGUUUGUGGAUUUGUGUGUGAAUUUAGAUCUGAUUUCAGAAAAAUGAAGUCCCCGGUUUAUCCACAAACCCAUCCCAGCACAGCGGGCAGCAGCACUACCCAACCUCAACCCAAAGGCCGUCUAUCUCAGUCACCGUACCUAUUACAGAGAAGACAACCCAGUCUCUGGGCCUGAUUCUCCACCGCUGUUCACCUUGUGCAGUCAUUUGCACCAGCUCAAAAAUGCUUUCCACUCUGAAUUGGUCAUAUCAUGCACCCAUUGUACACAGGUAUAAAUGUGCAAGGCGAUGGCGAAUCAAGCCUGCUAAUUCAAUUCAAUCUAUUUGGCAGUGGUUUUUGUGAUGUGGGUAUCCAGUUACUGGGAAUCUGGAUGGAGACAACCAAACUCUUUUCUCAGCUCAAAUUCAGAAAUAACAGGGCCGGCUCCAGGCACCAGCGAAGGAAGCAGGUGCUUGGGGCAGCCAAUGGAAAGGGGCGGCACAUCCGGGUCUUCGGCAGCAGGUACCAGUCCCUCUUGGCAAAAAUGCUGGAGCUGGCCCUGGCUCUUUGAUGGUGACUUCCGAGUGAACUACAUAUUUGCAGAAAGUGCUGGAGCUGGCCGUGGAGCAAGCUGCCAGAGGAGAUCAGGCAAAUCCAGAAUCUGGCCGUCAGCUGCAAAACUUUCUCCCCUUCAAAAAUGCCUAUCCAUCAUAAAAGUGACACUCACAACACUG